rnacentral:lncRNA from 1 species
AGAGAGACACAAGAGAAGUCACACCCAAAUUGGAUCAAAAGUUUCACCAAGUCAUCAUCAAAAUCAAUCAUCCAUUUUGGUGGAUUAGGGUUUUCACCCCAUCAACACCCAAGAUCCAUUGAGUUUGAUGAGAAUUGAAGUCCAAACCAUCAUGAUCCAAGGCCAACAGAAGUCCACAAGGUCACACAAAUAUAAAAUGCAAUUAAAUGAAAUAAAAAUGCAUCAAAGAUAUUUUUAAAUGAUU